GAGGGAAAAGUAAGCGCAAGAGCAGCCAUUAGGCUUCUUUCAGGCUUCAUCUGGAUUUUGGAUUCUGAAGUUGGAGAAACUGCCUUCAAAUUUCUGUGUGCAGAGCAAUGGCCAAGAAAAGGAAAGACUUCCCCGAGUGGAAAAAAAAGAUGAAGAUACAAGCUGGUGAUGAUCCAGAGCAGCUGGUCUCAGGAAAUGAAGAAAAACCCUGAUCACCUUCUCUACAAACACAAGAAUAAAUUGCGACUAGUCUCAAUGGCUGACACGGAGGAGCAACACAGCGACACGUUAACUCCGACUGCUGCAGUUCCUGUAUGAAC